GUGGACUACCUGUGACCUCCUUCUGAGCAUUUCCAGAAGGGACAAACCUAACCUGACCAUGUCACUAAUGAGGAAGCAAUGCAGUGGAGGCAGAGGAGGGGGCUUUAAACCUUCAAGACCAUCCAAAGUUUCUUCAUGGACAAAACAAAAGAGCUAAAGAUGGAUCUCCAGUCCCCUCCCAGCUGGACUUCUUUGCCAUUUCCACUCCUUCACAUCCUGCCUCCAUUCUGGAGCUCAGAAUCAAGAAGUUGAUCUUUAGGACAAAGCACAAACUGAAUUUUACUUCACUGGUCUCUGAUGCCAAGCAGUGCUCCAUCAAAAAAGCUAAAGCGUCUGAUCUCAAAAUGUUGGUGAUUCAGUGACAAAGAUAUGAACACAAAGAAGUCUGUGACCUGAAAUCUGCCUCCAUCCAGAGUGAAAAAAUGCAGAAAAAUGUGGGCAUCAAAAUACAGUCUUAACCCAUCCUACUUAUUAUAAAAGUAUACUAGCACAUCCUCUGCAUGAAACAUAGGAGCUGAGCAAUAUACCAUGUACAAUAAUAGUUUUUGUAAUU